GGGCGCGUGGCCUAGCCUGGAUAGGGCGCUGGCCUUCUAAGCCAGCAGUCGCGGGUUCGAAUCCCGCCGCGCCCG
rnacentral:tRNA from 1 species